rnacentral:snRNA from 1 species
AUCUUUGCGCUUGGGGCAAUGACGCAGCUAGUGAGGUUCUAACCGAGGCGCGUCUAUUGCUGGUUGAAAACUAUUUCCAAACCCCCUCUUCGGCCUGGGCUUGUCCUUGGCCGUCGAGAAUUUCUGGAAGGGCUUCCUUACGGUAAAGCC